rnacentral:rRNA from 1 species
GACGAACGCUGGCGGCGUGCUUAACACAUGCAAGUCGAGCGGUAAGGCCCUUUCGGGGGUACACGAGCGGCGAACGGGUGAGUAACACGUGGGUGACCUGCCCUCAGCUCUGGGAUAAGCCUGGGAAACCGGGUCUAAUACUGGAUAUGACUCCAUGACGCAUGUUGUGGGGUGGAAAGCCUUGUGCGGCUGAGGAUGGGGCCCGCGGCCUAUCAGCUUGUUGGUGGGGUGANGGCCUACCAAGGCGACGACGGGUAGCCGGCCUGAGAGGGCGACCGGCCACACUGGGACUGAGACACGGCCCAGACUCCUACGGGAGGCAGCGAGUGGGGAAUCUUGCGCAAUGGGCGAAAGCCUGACGCAGCGACGCCGCGUGAGGGAUGACGGCC